UAUUGAUAAAGGCAAAUCCAUCGAAAGAUGGGGACGCAAAGCUAUAGGGGCUACCACGGAAAUCCGUAACGCCAGCCAGUUGCCGAU
rnacentral:ncRNA from 1 species